rnacentral:rRNA from 1 species
AGAGUUUGAUCCUGGCUCAGGACGAACGCUGGCGGCGUGCCUAAUACAUGCAAGUCGAGCGAAUCGACGGGAGCUUGCUCCCUGAGAUUAGCGGCGGACGGGUGAGUAACACGUGGGCAACCUGCCUAUAAGACUGGGAUAACUUCGGGAAACCGGAGCUAAUACCGGAUACGUUCUUUUCUCGCAUGAGAGAAGAUGGAAAGACGGUUUACGCUGUCACUUAUAGAUGGGCCCGCGGCGCAUUAGCUAGUUGGUGAGGUAAUGGCUCACCAAGGCGACGAUGCGUAGCCGACCUGAGAGGGUGAUCGGCCACACUGGGACUGAGACACGGCCCAGACUCCUACGGGAGGCAGCAGUAGGGAAUCUUCCGCAAUGGACGAAAGUCUGACGGAGCAACGCCGCGUGAACGAAGAAGGCCUUCGGGUCGUAAAGUUCUGUUGUUAGGGAAGAACAAGUACCAGAGUAACUGCUGGUAC